CUUAGGAAAUUGUAGCUGGUAUUGCAACUGGUGGUGAGCUUCUAAUGGCUAAUACUGCCUGCUCUUGCCUUGUGUGUUCUUUUAGUUUUAAUGAACACGGUGUUGUCAACAACUUAACAUUGCUACUAUCCAAGGUUACAAAAAAAAAAACUAUUUUGUGCUAGCUUCAGCGUGCUGAAGCGCUUGUCUCUUUGGGACUUGAGCACUCCCAAGGCGUCGCCGCCGCUUCGGCGGCGCGUGGAGGCGAAGAAAAGCGAUGCGCAGCGCGAGAGCUGGAGUAUGAUUUGCAAGCGGCCGGGUGGGAGCUCGAUUCGUGUGUGCAGGAAGAUGAAUAGUUGCUGCCGCCGGCAGGGAAAGGGGAAUUCACUGGGCUAGGGUUAGAAAAGGAGAACAACUUGUGCAGGGCCACCGCCGCUGCUCCUGACCAAGGUCGAGCUCGUCGGCGACCUCGUCGUCUUCUUGCAGUGUCCCGUGACCCCGAGACCGGAGCUGCUCCAUCCUCUGCAUCUCGCCAUCACCAUCUGCCCGCUUGACCCCGGCACGGCAGCACCCAGCAUCCUGCAAGAAUGGCAAGAUCUGAGACAGGAGCCCAGUCCGCAGCAGUGGAGGAAUUGUGUGUCCUCAAGAGGAAGUCUGAAGAUGUAGGAUGGGAGUAUGGGGUUCUAGCUGAUCCUACCAACAUGAAAAGGCGAAGUGCUUGUUUUGUGGCCAUGAGAGCACAGGAGGGAUUUAUCAUUUUAAGUAACAUGUGGCUCAUGUUGGUACUGCUAUGGCUAGUGCAAGAAAAGCACUACAGAAGCUAAAGAAAAGUGCAAGAAAAGCACAACAGAAACUAAAGAAAAGUGCAAGAAAUCACUUGUUGAUGCAACAAGGAAGUGGAGAGAAAAGACUGCUCAUGAACUAAAUCUUAGAGAAGUUUGUAAUUGUUUCUCGGGUUGAAGGGGAGGCAGAGCAAGAAUUUACUUGUGUAGGUGGCUCGAAGCCUCACAGCCAAAUUGAUCCUAAGUCAACACAAGCUGAAGCCUUGAAGCAACAGAAGUUAAACAAGGAACUUUGGAAACAGAAAGCACAUGAGUUGCAACAAUAUGUUGCAAGAUGGAUGUGUACACGUGGCAUGGUAAUAAACCAGCAGAAAUAGGUAGGGUUAUGAGUUAUGACCCGUUAAUUUAGCAUGUGUAAUGUAGCAUUAGGUUUGGAGGAUAUAGUUUGUUAGCUUAUCUCAGCGCAUUGGUGGGUAUGAAGCUGCUUAAUUUUACUGGGUUUGAUUUGUCCACUACAUUGAGCAAUAAACGUGUUGAGGUACUAUUGUACUAAUGGAAAAGUAAAAGUAACCUAGUGUGGUAAUAGGUACAUGUGGGGUUGGGCAUGUGCAUGUCCUGCAAUUUUCUUUUGUUCGUGAAGUGUCUCCUUCACGUACAUCCGGCUCCUAAGAUGUCAUGUCUCCGAAGGUGUCAUGUUUCCUAAGAUGUCAUGUCACCUUGGAAGCUGGUGUCGAGCCGUUGUUGUCUGAGUUCCUGCAUGCACUUCUCUUCUCUCUCGUUAAAACUGGUGGAGGGAUGAAGG